UCUAAUAUGGCAGAAAAGUGCAAUGAAUUUAAGAUUCAUAAAUAAAUUAAAAAUUUUAUUAGAA
rnacentral:tRNA from 1 species